GGCAGGGUGCCCGAGUUGGUCUAAGGGGUAGGUUUUAGGCACCUAUAGGUAACUGCGCGGGUUCGAAUCCCGUCCCUGUCAG
rnacentral:tRNA from 1 species